rnacentral:rRNA from 1 species
GACGAACGCUGGCGGCGUGCCUAAUACAUGCAAGUAGAACGCUGAAGGAGGAGCUUGCUCUUCUGGAUGAGUUGCGAACGGGUGAGUAACGCGUAGGUAACCUGCCUGGUAGCGGGGGAUAACUAUUGGAAACGAUAGCUAAUACCGCAUAAGAGUAGAUGUUGCAUGACAUUUACUUAAAAGGUGCAAUUGUAUUACUACCAGAUGGACCUGCGUUGUAUUAGCUAGUUGGUGGGGUAACGGCUUACCAAGGCGACGAUACAUAGCCGACCUGAGAGGGUGAUCGGCCACACUGGGACUGAGACACGGCCCAGACUCCUACGGGAGGCAGCAGUAGGGAAUCUUCGGCAAUGGACGGAAGUCUGACCGAGCAACGCCGCGUGAGUGAAGAAGGUUUUCGGAUCGUAAAGCUCUGUUGUAAGAGAAGAACGAGUGUGAGAGUGGAAAGUUCACACUGUGACGGUAUCUUACCAGAAAGGGACGGCUAACUACGUG